GUAGGGGCCAAGCGUUGUCCGGAUUUAUUGGGCGUAAAGAGCUCGUAGGCGGUUUGGAUAGUCGGGUGUGAAAACUCCGAGCUCAACUCGGAGACGCCACCCGAUACUGCCAUGACUAGAGUCCGGUAGGGGAGCAGGGAAUUCCUGGUGUAGCGGUGAAAUGCGCAGAUAUCAGGAGGAACACCGGUGGCGAAGGCGCUGCUCUGGGCCGGUACUGACGCUGAGGAGCGAAAGCGUGGGUAGCAAACAGGAUUAGAUACCCUGGUAGUCCACGCCGUAAACGUUGGGCACUAGGUGUGGGCCCUAACCAACGGGGUCCGUGCCGCAGCUAACGCAUUAAGUGCCCCGCCUGGGGAGUACGGCCGCAAGGCUA
rnacentral:rRNA from 1 species